rnacentral:rRNA from 1 species
UGGGGAAUUUUGGACAAUGGGCGAAAGCCUGAUCCAGCAAUGCCGCGUGUGUGAAGAAGGCCUUCGGGUUGUAAAGCACUUUUGUCCGGAAAGAAAUCCUUGGCUCUAAUACAGUCGGGGGAUGACGGUACCGGAAGAAUAAGCACCGGCUAACUACGUGCCAGCAGCCGCGGUAAUACGUAGGGUGCAAGCGUUAAUCGGAAUUACUGGGCGUAAAGCGUGCGCAGGCGGUUUGCUAAGACCGAUGUGAAAUCCCCGGGCUCAACCUGGGAACUGCAUUGGUGACUGGCAGGCUAGAGUAUGGCAGAGGGGGGUAGAAUUCCACGUGUAGCAGUGAAAUGCGUAGAGAUGUGGAGGAAUACCGAUGGCGAAGGCAGCCCCCUGGGCCAAUACUGACGCUCAUGCACGAAAGCGUGGGGAGUAAACAGGAUUAGAUACCCUGGUAGUCCACGCCCUAAAACGAUGUCAACUAGUUGUUGGGGAUUCAUUUCCUUAGUAACGUAGCUAACGCGUGAAGUUGACCGCCUGGGGAGUACGGUCGCAAGAUUAAAACUCAAAUGAAUUGACGGGGUCAUAGCUGUUUCCU